UCACAGUUUUGUUUAGUUGUGCUUUUUCUUCUUCAAUGUUUUGCCAUAUUGUUUGAAGACUUCCUAAGCACAUAUAAUUUAAAAAAUAAACUAUACAAAUAUGUUUAAAAGGCAAAUAAGUUAUCCCAAUAGGUAACAUAGAAAAUAGACCAAGAACUGUACAUGGAAAUAAAAGAUUGCUUAAGUAAACAAUAACAAUAACAUUUAUCUAAAUGCUUUAUUGUGGUUUUUGUUCAUCUGAUCAUUACAUCUAAACCUGGAAUGCGUUUUUGUCUCUCCUCCCAGGAUUACUGAGGAUGAAAAUGACAAAUUCCUGAAGCCUUGGCUGUAGGAGCAAAAUAGUCAAUAUACUUUCAGUCUAUGAAUUUUAAUACAAUUAUUGGACUAAGUGCUUUGGAUGGUUAUGCUCUUGAGUCAAGAAGUAUGUUGUUCCUUUCCUAUUACCUUAGGCUGCUACUCAAAAAUUUCCCAAUAAAAUCUUAUCAAUGGCUUUUGUGGAGGUAGGUAUACUUUUUUUCCAUAUGCCCUGAAAAAUUCUGUCGUUUGCUUACUUAUUUCAUAUCGUUUCCUGUACCUAGGCUGAGUCUAUUUCUUUCUCUAUGUCUUCUCUACCAUUAUGUGCUCUAUAAUGUGAAGGCAGAGGAAGAAUUCUCAUCUUUAUCCAGAAAGAAUCCCUUACUGUUUGGAGCUAAAGGUAUAAAGUGUUCCUUAGAUAGAAGUGGAGAUGUAAUAAUACUUCAUGGUAUAAAACAGUGAAUUCCUUCUUUGCUUUACCAGCUAAUGAAACACUUUUUGUUUAACCAAAUAUAAUCAGGGCUGGAAUACUGCUUAGGAGGAAAUACCUAUGUAUGUAAGUAAGUGAUUUAAAUAAUGAGAAAAUAGGCUUUUAAAAAAUUCACAAUUUGGUUUGACAGAUCUUUUGCAUUUUUCCAGUAUUUAUGAUUAUUUCAGCAGUACAGAACAAAGUUUAUAAUUAAACUUAUAAAUUUAACACUUCCAAAAAUGAGGCCAAAAGAAAUAAGCUCAAUUCAAGAAUGAUUCAUUCAGAUAAGGGUAGGGGUGAGGGAGUGUAAGAAACUCUUAUAUUCUUUCAUAGCCUCUUAGCUAAAGAGAACAAUAAAUUACACACUGACAGUUAAUGAAUAUUAGUGGAACUACUUAUUGCAUUUUGUGUGGAAAAUAUAUAUUUUAUAGUAUUAGCACAUAAAAUAGUUCAGUUUAUUAGAUUCCAAGCCCUUCUGCCAGUAUUUUACAUGUAAUCAGUUUAUAAUGUAUUUAAUAUUGACGAGCUAGGAUACAGUUUUUAAAAAUUUUAUUCAUUGUUUAAGAGUUAUAUAUCAAGGAUCUACUGUUUUUAGGCUGUUGAUUAUGCACUGAAUCUAAAGUGAAUACAUUUAUGUCUAUUAUACCUAUAUAUCCAUAUCUAUCUAUAUAUCUCCCUCAUCUCACAGAGCUUUUAGUUUAGCAGGAGAAAAAGAGGGGAGAAAUUAAUAAUAGAAAAUAUUCUACAUGCUCGACUGGGAUUAAAUACGAAAGAAUACUUAGGCAUCUAGUAUUAUUUAGAUGGAGGUUAUAAACUGGGAAAGAGGCCUAAAAUUAUUUAAAAUUUGAACUAAUUUUCAAAUAUUUAAAAAUUGACAUUAGAGAGGAAAGUCAGUUUUCCCUGAGCUCUUGAAAAUCUGGAAGAUGUGAUGAUACUGGGCAAAUGGAGACUGCUCCAUUGGGUCUGUGAGGGCACACCCCUUUUAGACAAGGACCACAUCAGCCAGGAUCUAUAUAUCCCACAUCCCAAGUUUACAGAUUGACACUGAGGUUGACAAUUCAUAUUUUCAUUUGCUAUCCAACCAGUUAAAAUUGUUUGUAUAUAAAAAAGUAAAAACCACUAAAAGAAACAAAACAAUGACAAAACACUUGCUUUUCUUGAAUACAAGGACUCUGUAGUUACAUGUGAUUCUUCAGUGCUGAGUAAUUUAAAGCUUUCUGAAGGAAAUGAUAUACAACCUGAAACAUGAAGGAUGAACAAAGAAAUAACAAAAGAGAAUUUAGUGGUUAGGCAUUUAUUUUCUCAAAUAAUAAAUACUCAUGGGUACCUCAGAUGUGACAGGCACUGUGGCAUAUUGGUUUGGACAUAUACUUAGUGCUUACUUUAAUGGAACUCACAGACCACUAAGGGAAAAACAUUACAAGACCCAGGACUUGGCAGAGCAUGAAACAUAGAAUUUGAGUAAAUUCACUAUGGUUGAAGGUAGAGCAUGAGGGUGAAAAUGUUGAUACAUUACUUUAAAGAGAGGGACAGGUUCUAAAUUGAUGGCCUUAUGAGCCAUGUUAAGAAAAAUCUGAUUUUAUUCUAAAGAUGGAUAAAUGAGAAGGCACUGCACAAUUUAAGAGAACUAACAUAAUGGUAUGUAUGUGUGUGUGUUAUACUUGAUAAGGAUAUAUUUGACUGCAGAUUGGAGAAUUAAGAAGAGAGGUGGAGCAUGAGGCUUAAGUUGGUGCAAGGAUUCAGUGUGAUGAUGCAUGCAAAGGACUUAGAACAGAACUUAUCAAAUAUGGAGAGGUCACAAGUCCCAGUCUAUCCUAAUUAGUAAGAUGGGCAGUUGUGCCUUUCUAACCUUUGAUCCAAGUGAGUGAAACCUUGUUCAGCAACGUAAAACAAAUUCUAGAUGUCCCAAAAAUACUUAGAUGUGAAAAUAGGAAGAGGGACAAUAAAGUCACAAUAGAAUAUGGGAGGUAUAAUUACCAUAAGCAAAUCUUACAGUUUUAAGCCUAUUAGGAACAGAAAAAAAAGAUGAUUAGAUCUAUCAGCUAGGUAGGAUUACCUUAAAUAAAGCACAAUUACAAAGGAGAAGCUAUCAGAGUACAGAAAUAAGGAGAAAGUGCUCAAAAUGAUUUGUCCUUACUUUCAGAUUUGAAAGGCCAUUCAAUCAGCAAGUAAGUAGACUAAAGCACAAUUCAUUUUGUUUGUAGUUAAUCCUUGGUUUAAACAGAUGUUUCCUGUAUAUAAAAAUAAGCAGGGUUUAUCAAGAUGAAGUGAGCUAACCAAUGACAGUGGUAAAGAAGUUUCCAGAAAGAUUGAAAAGAAACAAUCACACAAUAUAAGUGAUCAAAAUAUUUCUGAGUAGAAAAAUUUUGGUGUUUUCAGAUUAAAAGGGCUUUUCUAAAGUAAGGUCUUGUCUUAACCAAUGACAACCCUUCCCUCCUGCAAGACAGAACAUGAAUCAGAGGCUUGCAAAUAGUUUGCUUAUUUCCAAAGCAGGAUUAGGGGAACAGGAGUGAGGACUACAGAAAUGGAACAGGGAAAGAGCAAAAAUAAAAUAUAAAUUCAAGAAUCACUUAUGGAGGAUAGUUUAGGAAGUUGGUCUCCAAUUUGGCAACUGAUGCUUAUCUUGUGAGACAUUCUGUGGAGCCUUUCUAAAGACUAUCGCAAGGGUGUACAGGGGAUAGGCUAUUAAAGGGGGACCCUUACCCAUUGUCCAGCAUCCAUCAUUGUUCAGGCAUGGCAUUUACAGGGCUCACUUGUGAAUGGCUAUUGUGUCUCAUGGAAAAGUUGUAAGGCUGGAAGCAAGAGGCACAUGAGGCCAUGUGCUGGUAGGUUGAAAUUGGGAAUUAGGUAAAAUCUGUUCUGAACCAGUCAAUUUGACAUUGGCUAGUGGGGUUGGAAGGAUGUACAAAUGGAAGCUAAUAUAAUUCCUAACCUUAUUAGAGAGAAGUGUUGAACUAUUAGAAUGAAGAACAGGAGUUCUUGUUGUGGCACAGCGGAAAUGAAUCCAACUAGGAACCAUGAUGUUGCAGGCUUGAUCCCUGGCCUCGCUCAGUGGGUUAAGGAUUCCGUGUUGCCAUGAGCUGUGUUGUAGGUUGCAGACAUGGCUUGGAUCCUACAGUUGCUGUGGCUGUGGUGUAGGCCGGCAGCUGUAGCUCAGAUUAGAUCCCUAUCCUGGUAAUCUCCAUAUGCUGCUGGUGUGGCCCUAAAAAGCAAAAAAAAGAAAAAAAGAAAAACAUAUCCUGUGAGUCUUUAGUGGGGGGAGAUUUUCUUCAGUCAGUUCAAGAUUAGUUUGCCUCAGACUCUGAAACAACAAUAAAUACUGUGAGAAUGGGAAGAGUUUUAUCCAGCUUUAUUUAGAAACUUAUUACCCAAUAAUUUUAUUCUCAGCAAAUGAGUAAGGAUUGUUUUUAUUGUAGUUGACAUUUUUGUUGUUGUUCUUAAAAUGUAGAAAGGCAUUCUUAUACAUGAAAGGGCUCCAAUAUCAUUAGAGUCCUAUACUCCUGGAAAAAAAAUAAUUACCUCGAGUUACUUACCAGGGAAGGAGGGUAAGAAUAGGAAAAGGGACUAAAAUAAUGCAAGAAAGAAUGUAUCAAUGAACUGAAAGUAAACACUGUGAGGAGGCAGAGAACCCUGUAAAAUCUCACCUAUGCAUUUUACCUACUUAGACUACUAUAUUCCCUCUCAUUAUUUUCUGUCAUAAUCAAACCACUCAUUUCCUUCCUA
rnacentral:lncRNA from 1 species